rnacentral:lncRNA from 1 species
UUUAAAAAUCUUUUUAUCGAAGAAAGAAAACAAACGCGAAUACAAGAAACUUGAUUUAAAAGGAAAACUAAUAGUACUAAAAUCAAUCAGUGAAAAUGAUGUAUAUAGAAUCAGUGAUUUUGGAAGUAUAGCUAAAUCUGCUAAAGAAUUCUCAAGCAGCUAUUAUAGAUAAUCAAUAGAUUUCUUGCGAAUCCAGUUAAAAUAGCAGCAUGCAACAAGUUGUAUUACUCCAGUCUUUUUUGCGAUGAAAACAAAGAUUUUUGAGAUGAAAACAAAGCAUAUGUUUACUGUCUUUGGAAAUAUCGGCUAUACUAAUAGUCUGUAAUUUUUUUGAACAUUAAAACCAGCAACAAGUAAAAAAUACGUUUAAGAAAACAAAGUGUCAACAAUAAAGUCAUAUUCUAGUAGCUAAUGCUUAUAAAUUACAAAAAAAAUUAAAUGUGUAAUGCAAGAAAAACGUAGACUUGAAAAAAUUCAAUGUGUUGCAAGAAAAACAUCUAAUUAGCUACUUUUGCAUAUCAUUGUAUUUUUAUUUAGCUAAAGUAUGCGAUUAUGUUUUUUGAAACUUGUCUUCUAUAUUCAGAUAUUUUAACACUGCCAUUAGCACUAAUAUACAAAAUUCUUUCCAGUUUGAAAAUAGACGAUUACAGUUUGAGCUGUAAAUUUGAAAGCAAAUUAGUUAUAAGUCAUAUGGUUCUAAUGAUGGCUGUUGGUAUUGCAAAGGAGAUGUUUGUUUUAAUAUUAGUUGCUGUUAACAAGUUUGACAAUCUUCUUUGGAACAGCUUGAUAGACGUUAUGUGAAAAUUAAUUAUAAAA